UUUUACAUUAUUAUAUAGGAAGGUCAUAGAAUUCGGUGAAUAUAUUGGAAAUUGUCUCGAUAUUCAACAAUCAUUUGGAGAUGAGAUGUGUCUCGAUAAUGUUUUCAUGGAGUGUUUCAUUCAAUGUUUUCGCGAUGAUGAUACAAAUCAUUGCCCGUCCAUGAACAACAACAGACUUGACUUGUACUGGACGUCAAUGUUGGUGUAUGUAACCUUUCAUUAAUAUCCACCUAAUUUUACAAUACUUUACCUACAGAUUUAUAUGACAUAGUAAUUAUGCUUAUUUAGGCUCUGCUCAACUUUGAGGAGCAGGAACGCCACAACAAGUUCCCUCAGGGUUAUGAUCAAGCUGUCCUUGAUGAUUACGUGGACAAGACACUGCCUCAGCUGGACAACUGUGUUGACUGUAAAUCGGUAUAAAGUGUUAUCUUGUUUGAAGCUUAUUUUUUCUGCUAUGCAAGUAUAUUCAUGUCUCACCUACACACUAAUGGUAUCACUUCAUAUCUCUAACUUGUGAUCAUAAAUAGAUCAUGGUCCCUAUACUACGUGCGGGACAUUGGACAUUGUAUGUCAUCAAUAUUCAGUUUCGGUGCAUUCACAUUUUAGAUUCCAAUCCAUAUGGUCCGGAACUGGGUGGUACUACGUGGAAGAUGUAUCAUUACGCCCAAAUGAACAUAGGCUCAAGGAAAUUACCAUGGGCUACGGUUAUAAUGAACAGGUUGAACAAAUCUUUGCAACAAGUUCGACCCAAUUCACGCAUUCCUAAAUUUGGAAACUUCCCAAUUGACAUGGCACCUAUGUGUCCCACCAUGAAAGCGGGAUCUAACGACUGUGGUUUCUUCGUCAUGAGGUACAUCCAGUACUAAGACUACAUGGAUGGUUCUAUCAAGCCAUAUAUACAACCAGACAACUCUCGUGACCUACAUCUCUUGCUCUAUACUACCUCACAUUUCAUAGCAAGAACAAGUGCCUCCCGUUGCCUCCAGAAAUUCAAAGAUUCAAGUUUGCACGCAAGUAGUGUCGCUGGAUCAACUGUCUGUUAUGAAGCAACCUUUUGUGAAGCCAAAUUUUGUAUCAUGUAUAUGGAAUUGUAAUGCAACUUUUGUGGUAGUUGGUAUAUUGUGGACCUAUGUGUAUUAAAAAGUUAUGAAGCCACUCUUGUUUAAUAUAGUGUUCAGUUCAAACUGCAAUUAUCAGCUCACAUGUGUAUCAGCCAUUGUCUCACAAGUUA